AGGCAAUAUGUCACUUCCGGCAGCCAUCUGCCUGACGGUAAUUAACAACGGUUGAGUGGUUGAGUGGCUAACGCAUCUUAAUUUUCCCUGUUGAACAGGAGAAAGAGUUUGUUUGGUUUUACCCGAUAAGAAAAGCUUUAAGAAGAACAGUCUCCAAAACUUUCCAAACUGCCUGAGAGCAGCGGGGUCCAUGGAGAGAGCUACUGAUGGCUGAGGAGCUGUGUACCGGCUGGUUUCGCAUCAUUGCAGGGCCCUGGUGGUGAAAUCUGGAGGUUUUCCUAUGCCGUG
rnacentral:lncRNA from 1 species